UUCCGGUUGAUCCUGCCGGAGGCUACCGCUAUUGGAGUCCGAUUAAGACAUGCGAGUCGAGAGCUUUCGGAGCUCGGCAUACUGCUCAGUAACACGUGGGUAACCUGCCCUAUGCUGGGGGAUAACCUCGGGAAACUGAGAACAAUACCCCAUAGUCCACUACGCCUGGAACGGUGAGUGGAUAAAAGCCCCGGCGGCAUAGGAUGGGCCUGCGGCGUAUCAGGUAGUAGGGGGUGUAAAGUACCCUCUAGCCUUCGACGCGUACGGGUUGUGAGAGCAAUAGCCCGGAGAUGGAUUCUGAGACACGAAUCCAGGUCCUACGGGACGCAGCAGUCGCGAAACCUUGACAAUGCGAGAAAUCGUGACCAGGGGACUCCAAGUGCCAGGAGUAAGAUCCUGUGCUUUUCUUUUCUCUUCAAAGGAUUUGGAAUAAGAGGUGGGUAAGGACGGUGCCAGCCGCCGCGGUAAUACCGGCGCCUCGAGUGGUAGUCGAUUUUAUUGGGCCUAAAACGUCCGUCGCCUGUCUGGUGCAUUCGUGGGUAAAUCAACCCGCUCAACGGGUUGAAUUCUGCGAGCACGGCCAGACUAGGGACCGGGAGAGGUGUGGGGUACGCUCGGGGUAGGGGUAAAAUCCUGUCAUCCCGAGCGGACCACCUGUUGCGAAGGCGCCACACUAGAACGGAUCCGACGGUCAGGGACGAAGCCUAGGGGCACGAACCGGAUUAGAUACCCGGGUAGUCCUAGGUGUAAACGCUGUGGACUUGGUGUUGGGAACUCCCAGAGGGCUCUCAGUGCCGUAGCGAAGGUGAUAAGUCCACUGCCUGGGGAGUACGGUCGCAAGGCUGAAACUUAAAGGAAUUGGCGGGGGAACACCGCAACCUGAGGAUUGUGCGGUUUAAUUGGAGUCAACGCCGGA
rnacentral:rRNA from 1 species